rnacentral:lncRNA from 1 species
GCUUAAGCGGAUAAACUGCCCCUAUCAGGGACCUGCAGGCUAAUAAGCCAAUUUCUUCUCAUGACCAUGACAAGCAAAAUAGGACAAGCUCAACUGCACAUAUACAUUUCAAGCCUCAGCUGCUAAUAUUCCACUGGCCAAGGCCAAAGGUAAGGGUUGGGGAAAAAUACUAUGCCUUUUGUGGGAAGAACUGUAAAGACACAUAGCAGGUGGGAUACAGGGAGAGGUGAGGAAUUGGGGCC